GAAGCAGCCACCCUUUAAAGAAAGCGUAAUAGCUCACUAGUCGAGUCGGCCUGCGCGGAAGAUGUAACGGGGCUAAAACUAUGUGCCGAAGCUGCGGAUUUGACAUUAGUCAAGUGGUAGGGGAGCGUUCUGUAAGCCGAUGAAGGUGUAUUGAGAAGUAUGCUGGAGGUAUCAGAAGUGCGAAUGCUGACGUGAGUAACGACAAAACGGGUGAAAAACCCGUUCGCCGAAAGACCAAGGGUUCCAGUCCAACGUUAANNNUCGGGGCUGGGUGAGUCGACCCCUAAGGCGAGGCCGAAAGGCGUAGUCGAUGGGAAAAUGGUUAAUAUUCCAUUACUUCUGUGUAAUGCGAUGAGAGGACGGAGAAGGCUAAAUCAGCCUGGCGUUGGUUGUCCAGGUGAAAGGAUGUAGGCAUGUAUCUUAGGCAAAUCCGGGGUACUCUAUGCUGAGAUCUGAUAGCAAGCUGUACUUGUACAGCGAAGUGGUUGAUGCCAUGCUUCCAGGAAAAGUCUCUAAGCUUCAGUUACACAGGAAUCGUACCCGAAACCGACACAGGUGGUCAGGUCGAGUAGACCAAGGCGCUUGAGAGAACUCUGCUGAAGGAACUAGGCAAAAUGGUACCGUAACUUCGGGAGAAGGUACGCUGUUGUUGGUGAUGGAACUCGCUUCCUGAGCUGACGACAGCCGCAGAAACCAGGCCGCUGCAACUGUUUAUUAAAAACAUAGCACUCUGCAAACACGAAAGUGGACGUAUAGGGUGUGAUGCCUGCCCGGUGCUGGAAGGUUAAUUGAUGGGGUUAGCGUAAGCGAAGCUCUUGAUCGAAGCCCCAGUAAACGGCGGCCGUAACUAUAACGGUCCUAAGGUAGCGAAAUUCCUUGUCGGGUAAGUUCCGACCUGCACGAAUGGCAUAAUGAUGGCGGCGCUGUCUCCAGCAGAGGCUCAGUGAAAUCGAAAUCGCUGUGAAGAUGCAGUGUACCCGCGGCUAGACGGAAAGACCCCGUGAACCUUUACUGCAGCUUGACACUGAACUUUGACCUUACUUGUGUAGGAUAGGUGGGAGGCUUUGAAGCUGGAACGCUAGUUCCAGUGGAGCCGUCCUUGAAAUACCACCCUGGUAAUGUUGAGGUUCUAACUCUGUCCCGUGAUCCGGGACGAGGACCGUGUCUGGUGGGUAGUUUGACUGGGGCGGUCUCCUCCUAAAGAGUAACGGAGGAGUACGAAGGUGCGCUCAGCGUGGUCGGAAAUCACGCGUAGAGUAUAAAGGCAAAAGCGCGCUUAACUGCGAGACCCACAAGUCGAGCAGGUACGAAAGUAGGUCUUAGUGAUCCGGUGGUUCUGUAUGGAAGGGCCAUCGCUCAACGGAUAAAAGGUACUCUGGGGAUAACAGGCUGAUACCGCCCAAGAGUUCAUAUCGACGGCGGUGUUUGGCACCUCGAUGUCGGCUCAUCUCAUCCUGGGGCUGAAGCAGGUCCCAAGGGUAUGGCUGUUCGCCAUUUAAAGAGGUACGCGAGCUGGGUUUAGAACGUCGUGAGACAGUUCGGUCCCUAUCUACCGUGGGCGCUGGAAAUUUGAGAGGAUCUGCUCCUAGUACGAGAGGACCAGAGUGGACGAACCUCUGGUGUACCGGUUGUGACGCCAGUCGCAUCGCCGGGUAGCUAUGUUCGGAAGGGAUAACCGCUGAAAGCAUCUAAGCGGGAAGCCUACCUCAAGAUAAGAUUUCCCUAGGACUUUAUGUCCUCUAAAGAGCCGUUCGAGACUAGGACGUUGAUAGGUUGGAUGUGGAAGCAUAGUGAUAUGUGAAGCUGACCAAUACUAAUUGCUCGUGAGGCUUGACUAUACAACACCCAAGCAGUUG
rnacentral:rRNA from 1 species